UAUCAGUGAGAACAGUCACGUAUAUACUCUUUAAAACGCUCCCAGGCUUCAUAGAAAAGUUCGGCCGGUCCUUGCUAGAAACUUGAGAUCUUGGUUCUCAGUAA
rnacentral:snoRNA from 1 species